rnacentral:lncRNA from 1 species
AAGUAUCAAUUUAAAGGUUAGAUUUUUUGUAACCACUUUUCCUUUCAUGUAUUGUUUUGAGUUGUUAUUAUGUUUUCUAGGAUGACUUUUUUAGUUUUCAUAGUAUGUGUUUUUAGUUAUCGUUUGGUCAGAUUGAACGGUUAGACGGGCUAGAUGGGUUAAUCGGAUGGUCAAGAUGAUUGAGAGGGUUGGGCUGGUGUGAUCACCAGGCUGACAAAGAUGGCCAAGAUGUAUAAGAUUGAUAGGUUGAUUGAGCUUGUUGGGAUGGCAUGAUGGUUGGCUGAUAGGGAUGACCAAGAUUGUCAUGAUGGAAUGGAUGGUGAUGGACCAGAUGGAAUGGAUGGUCGGGAUGGCUAGGAUAGAUGUGUUAACAUGUAGGCUUCUUUUUACACCAAGAGGGGGGUGAAUUGGUGGUUUAUAAAAAACAAAGUUUUUUUGCAAUCUUGUGAUCAAAGUAUAAAACUUUUCAAACUUUCUUGAAAUGCAAGUAAUGAAAAUUCAUGUGCAGCGGAAAAACAUAGUUGACUGCUAAAAUAAUAAAGUCGACUGAAUAUAAAAGAGAAGGGAUAAAGAAAUUCAAACACUGAUUUUUAUACUGGUUCGACCAACAAUGCCUACAUCUAGUGUCCUUUCAACCCAGGAAGCAAAUGCACUAUAAUGGUCAAAGUUUUUACAACAAGAAAUUUAUAGAAGACCUCCACGUCAAAAAUAUAAAUUUCCUCUCUAACCCUCUAACCAAAAUAUAGCCGCAACAACAAAACCAGACUUGUAGUAAGAAUUCCCUCUCCUGCAAUCUGAAACACCACUUUGAACAAUCCUCAAAGUGAACAAGACUCCAAGAGUCUAACCCCU